CCUGGCGCCUGGAGAGGCGCCGGAGGUCGGGCGAGGGCCCGCCCCGCCCCCCGCAGUCCGCGGUCGCAGGCGUCCCUGUGCGGACGCCCCACUGUGCGCAGGAGACGUUCCCCGUGGCGAGUGCCCUGUCCCGAAUUCUCCAGACCGAUGGCAACCUCUAGGUGUGUCUAAAGCCACGUCCUUCACACUUCGGGGCCCCUUAGGCUGAAAUUCCGGCAUUUGCACCCCCAGCCCCACCCCCACCCCAGGCGGCAGGAAUGGAAUGGCUGGCCACCUGGCUACCUGGCUACCUGCAGGGCAGCCCUCGGGAGCGUUCGCACCACGCCCUGCAGCCAGCCCUUCACUGCGAGGAGGACUGAGGCAGGGCUAGGACUCCGUGUGGCCCCACCAGCUCCGCAACCCUUCCCUGUCCACUCCCAGCUGCUCCCUGAAUGUGCUUGGAGCCGAGAGGCGCGUCAGGAGUGGAAUACAAAAUAAAAUUUCUUAAAGGAAUAGUAUAAAGGACACAUGGACAACAAGUUCUGGCUGAGAUUUUGUUGCAGUCAGUUGCCCAGGAAGGAACGAAGGGACUUUUAAUCCAGCUCCGAUGCCACAUGCCUGGUCACCAGGAAUGUGGAGCCCGAUCCAUUGCGACCCAGGAACAGCAGACGACCGGACAAUGUCAGCCUGCCUGCCCACCUCAUCAGAAUGCAGGCCUUCCUGUUCCCGAAAUCAGUGACACAGAUCUUCACCAAGAUCGGAACUCCCUCAGGGACUGGGGCUCCAAAGACUGCCUGUGGCCAGGACCCCCUCUGCCCCCUCCCACGCCCACACACACUCCAGCCCAGGGCUUCCCCUGGGAACCUUGCUCCUGACACACUUCGGGGAAGGAGAGUGGUAGUGUUUUUAUAUCAUUGUUAGGUGUGCACUUAUAAUCCAAUCCCUGUCUGUGCUUUUUUGGCUGGGUGGUGACAGGCAGCAUGAGCCCGGCUGGACUGACCUUCAGGCUGGGGGCUUGCUCCACCUCCAACCCUGUCACCUCUUCUGCAGGUUGACCCCUGUCUGCCGAGCUCCUCUCAGCUUGGCAUCGCCUCCUGAGGACACACUCACUGGAUGCCUCCUCCGUAGCUCCCAGCCCAGGGGCCCACCUGAAAUUAGACUUCGUCUCUCUCGCCUCUCUGGCCCAGGCCCGGCUCAGCCCUGGCACAUUCGGCCACCCAUGUACCUGGGGAUGAAUAACUGAGUACAGAAAGCCUUCACCUGACACAGGCAAUAGGUCCUUGGAAGGCGCGACAGGAAGCGAAACGACACAGUACAACGAGGCAGUGUUACCCUAGGCUAGUUGACGCGAACAAGGGUUGAGUUCCGACAGCCCAUUUCUGGUCACAGAAAUAUCAUCAAACUUCUGGGUGAAGACCUGAAACGUUUCUAAUAUUCAACAUUGAAAUAAACGUGAGCUACACAGACAUCUAAGAAAGA